rnacentral:rRNA from 1 species
GAUGAACGCUGGCGGCGUGCCUAAUACAUGCAAGUCGAGCGAACGGACGAGAAGCUUGCUUCUCUGAUGUUAGCGGCGGACGGGUGAGUAACACGUGGAUAACCUACCUAUAAGACUGGGAUAACUUCGGGAAACCGGAGCUAAUACCGGAUGAUAUUUUGAACCGCAUGGUUCAAAAGUGAAAGACGGUCUUGCUGUCACUUAUAGAUGGAUCCGCGCUGCAUUAGCUAGUUGGUAAGGUAACGGCUUACCAAGGCAACGAUGCAUAGCCGACCUGAGAGGGUGAUCGGCCACAGUGGAACUGAGACACGGUCCAGACUCCUCCGGGAGGCAGCAGUAGGGAAUCUUCCGCAAUGGGCGAAAGCCUGACGGAGCAACGCCGCGUGAGUGAUGAAGGUCUUCGUAUCGUAAAACUCUGUUAUUAGGGAAGAACAUAUGUGUAAGUAACUGUGCACAUCUUGACGGUACCUAAUCAGAAAGCCACGGCUAACUACGUG